CAUGGCUGAAGCUGCAGACAGUCAACGAUUGAAGUCAGUUUCCACCCACGAGAAAAAGGAAAACGAAAGGCAGCCAUAGACGGACCACUCAGUCAAGUCUUCUUCUUCUUCUUCUCCUUAUGUAGAACAGAUGGGACAAGAGGCAAGAGCAGCAGCAACGUCAAAAUAUCAUAUGGGGAAUCAUCACCGAGCUCGCUUCACCCUAUGAUCUCCUCCUUCAUCGUCAUCAUGUUUUGGUUAGCAGCAUUACGGCAGGCAGAGGCGGACGACGGGUGGCAGAUGCCGAGUAGGUGGGUAUAGAAAUAAGAUUUCUCCAACUAUAUGAGAGAGAAAAUCUCUCUAUUCUGUUGAGGAAAAUCCUCUGUAAAGGAAAAUCCUUCCUCCCAAUCUGUAUAAAUAGAAGAGGAACAUGUUAAUAUAUUUUUUAUUUCUUCGAUAAAACUUCUUCACUUUUUCAAUAAAACUUCUUAAGUAAUUGUUCUUAUCUUCUAUUAUUUUCAUAAGGUACUACUCUUCCAAGGCGUUUACUACUCUUCCGAGUUGCGGUUGCGGCGAAACUUGUCCGGCUCCUGUCCAUGAGCCGCAACCUCCUCCAGUGAAGCCACCCCCACGCCGACCAUAAGCCUCCCAGUGGGCUUCCCGUGCAACGUUGACGUACGUCGAUCGAGUGUAUGCAUGUUUCUGUUUUCUCAGCUUGCUUCUGUCUGCAGCAACAAAAAUAUUCGAAGAGAAUAAAAAGUAUCUAUUUUGUCAAGGUUUCUUGGAGUACAUCGGUGUGUUAGAUAUGCUUGUGCCAUCUGAUUCGUUGGCUAUUCUUCUUCUAUGUUCUUCGUGUGGUAGAUAUGCUUUUCCUCGCAAUCAACUACGAUACGAUUUCAACAAGGAAAACAAGAGAAUCCUAGAUAGCUAAGAAGCAUGAGUUCUUGGGAUGAUGCUGCGGUUAU
rnacentral:lncRNA from 1 species